rnacentral:rRNA from 1 species
GUCUGGUGCCAGCAGCCGCGGUAAUUCCAGCUCCAAUAGCGUAUAUUAAAGUUGUUGCAGUUAAAAAGCUCGUAGUUGAAUUUCGGGAUCAGUACGCUGGUCAUGCCUUCGGUAUGCACUGGUGUCACUGAUUCCUCCCUUCUGAAGAACCGUAAUGCCAUUCAGUUGGUGUUGCGGGGAAUCAGGACUGUUACUUUGAAAAAAUUAGAGUGUUUAAAGCAGGCUUGCGCUUGAAUACAUUAGCAUGGAAUAAUGAAAUAGGACGUUUGAUCCUAUUUUGUUGGUUUCUAGGAUUGACGUAAUGAUUAAUAGGGAUAGUUGGGGGCAUUAGUAUUCAAUUGUCAGAGGUGAAAUUCUUGGAUUUAUUGAAGACUAACUACUGCGAAAGCAUUUGCCAAGGAUGUUUUCAUUAAUCAAGAACGAAAGUUAGGGGAUCGAAGACGAUCAGAUACCGUCGUAGUCUUAACCAUAAACUAUGCCGACUAGGGAUCGGAUGAUGUUAAUUUUUUAAUGACUCAUUCGGCGCCUUACGGGAAA